rnacentral:rRNA from 1 species
AGGACGAACGCUGGCGGCGUGCUUAACACAUGCAAGUCGAGCGAUGAAGCUUCUUCGGAAGUGGAUUAGCGGCGGACGGGUGAGUAACACGUGGGUAACCUGCCUCAUAGAGGGGAAUAGCCUUUCGAAAGGAAGAUUAAUACCGCAUAAGAUUGUAGUACCGCAUGGUACAGCAAUUAAAGGAGCAAUCCGCUAUGAGAUGGACCCGCGUCGCAUUAGCUAGUUGGUGAGGUAACGGCUCACCAAGGCGACGAUACGUAGCCGACCUGAGAGGGUGAUCGGCCACACUGGGACUGAGACACGGCCCAGACUCCUACGGGAGGCAGCAGUAGGGAAUCUUCCACAAUGGGUGCAAACCUGAUGGAGCAAUGCCGCGUGAAUGAAGAAGGUCUUCGGAUCGUAAAGUUCUGUUAUUAGAGAAGAACAAAUCGAGGAGUAACUGUCUCGAUUUUGACGGUACCUAACCAGAAAGUCACGGCUAACUACGUG